CUCUGGUCAAAAAUCCAUUACCUGGAGGCUGGGUAGUGAAAUUCCCGGAAUUCGGCCCGAUCAUUUUAUCCCAGCAAUCUAUGACAAAUCCUGAACCCUGAAGAAAAAAGCAAUGGAAAAGCAAAACAAGCCACUGCAUUAGCUAUUCAUCCUGCAGCAACCUGCAGGAAAAAUUCCAGGUACAGCGGAAAGUCCAGCCCUGCCUUUGAAACUGCAAUAGUAUCAUUUUCUCACAAAGCAGGAAGAGAAGUUUCUCUGAGACUACAAUUCCCAGAAUUCACAGGUGGCAUUGUCAAGAGAGUUGGAGUCAUGUGGCCCCGAGUUCAAGUGAGACGGUUACUUGUUAUGUGACUAUGGACAAGUCAGGUAACUUCCCUCAGCCUCAACUUUCCAGUCUGUAUGAUUGGAAAUCACCUACUUCGUAGGACUGUUUUGAAGCUCAAAAUGAGGCAAAAUAUAUUGGCAAACUUUUAAGUCUCACGUGGUGUUUCGAUAACUUAAAACUGCCCUAAGAUUUUUGGGACAACCUGUAUAAAUGCUAAUUAUUAUUAUUCGGCUAUCACCAGAUUCCAAACAUAGGGAGAAUGGAAGAAAAUCAAAGAAGAAAUCAGUUUUGGAUCUCUCUGUAUUGUGGUGCACUGGGUAACUGCAUGUGUAGUCUGAGAACUGGUUUCCAAUUUUGGGGCUGCCACAUACCACCUGAGGACCUUUCAGGGUUGGGAAACCUUCGUCCUUGAGGCCACGUGUGGCCCUCUAAGUCCUCAAGUUUGGCCCUUUGAAUCCCCCUAAUAAAAAGCUUUGUUCUGUAAGACUCAGUCAAAAGGCCACACCCAAGGACCUAGAAGGCCAUAGGUUUCCCACCCCUGCUAGGUAAAUCACCUUUCCUGGACCAAGUUUCCUUAUCAGAAAAAUCAUGGUGUUGGGCUAGUUAACCUCAAGGUUCUCUUCCAACUCUAAAACAAUGAUGCUACUAAGAUGUUUUCCUAGGAGGACAUUUUGACUUGGUUAUGAAUAUCAAAUGUUUUCUUAUUACAU